rnacentral:rRNA from 1 species
CUUGCUUCUCUUGAGAGCGGCGGACGGGUGAGUAAUGCCUAGGAAUCUGCCUGGUAGUGGGGGAUAACGUUCGGAAACGGACGCUAAUACCGCAUACGUCCUACGGGAGAAAGCAGGGGACCUUCGGGCCUUGCGCUAUCAGAUGAGCCUAGGUCGGAUUAGCUAGUUGGUGGGGUAAUGGCUCACCAAGGCGACGAUCCGUAACUGGUCUGAGAGGAUGAUCAGUCACACUGGAACUGAGACACGGUCCAGACUCCUACGGGAGGCAGCAGUGGGGAAUAUUGGACAAUGGGCGAAAGCCUGAUCCAGCCAUGCCGCGUGUGUGAAGAAGGUCUUCGGAUUGUAAAGCACUUUAAGUUGGGAGGAAGGGUUGUAGAUUAAUACUCUGCAAUUUUGACGUUACCGACAGAAUAAGCACCGGCUAACUCUGUGCCAGCAGCCGCGGUAAUACAGAGGGUGCAAGCGUUAAUCGGAAUUACUGGGCGUAAAGCGCGCGUAGGUGGUUUGUUAAGUUGGAUGUGAAAUCCCCGGGCUCAACCUGGGAACUGCAUUCAAAACUGACUGACUAGAGUAUGGUAGAGGGUGGUGGAAUUUCCUGUGUAGCGGUGAAAUGCGUAGAUAUAGGAAGGAACACCAGUGGCGAAGGCGACCACCUGGACUAAUACUGACACUGAGGUGCGAAAGCGUGGGGAGCAAACA